GACGAACGCUGGCGGCGUGCCUAAUACAUGCAAGUAGAACGCAGUUGCGAACGGGUGAGUAACGCGUAGGUAACUGCCUCAUAGCGGGGGAUAACCAUUGGAAACGAUAGCUAAUACCGCAUACUGUGAGAUGGACCUGCGUUGUAUUAGCUAGUUGGUGAGGUAAAGGCUCACCAAGGCGACGAUACAUAGCCGACCGGAGAGGGUGAUCGGGCAAACUGGGAGUGAGACAAGGCCCAGGCUCCUACGGGAGGGAGGAGGAGGGAAUCUUCGGCCAAUGACGGAAAGCUGGACGGAGAACGGCGGGGGAGGUAAGAAGGUUUUUGGAUCGUAAAGAUCGGUUGUGAGAGGAGCGGUACCUAACCAGAAAGGAACGGCUAACUACGUGCCAGCAGCCGCGGUAAUUC
rnacentral:rRNA from 1 species